rnacentral:rRNA from 1 species
CCUACGGGAGGCAGCAGUGAGGAAUAUUGGUCAAUGGACGAGAGUCUGAACCAGCCAAGUAGCGUGAAGGAUGACGGCCCUAUGGGUUGUAAACUUCUUUUAUAUGGGAAUAAAAUGUUCCACGUGUGGGAGUUUGUAUGUACCAUAUGAAUAAGGAUCGGCUAACUCCGUGCCAGCAGCCGCGGUAAUACGGAGGAUCCGAGCGUUAUCCGGAUUUAUUGGGUUUAAAGGGAGCGUAGGUGGGUUGUUAAGUUAGUUGUGAAAGUUUGCGGCUCAACCGUCAAAUUGCAGUUGAAACUGGCAGUCUUGAGUACAGUAGAGGUUGGCGGAAUUCGUUGUGGAGCGGUGAAAUGCUUAGAUAUCACGAAGAACUCCGAUUGCGAAGGCAGCUCACUGGACUGCAACUGACACUGAGGCUCGAAAGUGUGGGUAUCAAACCGGAUUAGAUACCCUUGUAGUC